GCCCUGACCACAACCCAGCAGCCUGGACUCAUGUCCUCAGCAGCCCCGCAGGCCAUCCCAGUCCUGUGGACCUGGAGGAGAGGGGGCUCCAAGGCCCACUGGGGGCCUCCCACACACCCGCAUGUCUUUGUUCCCUCUGCAGGGACCAGGCUGGUUCCCACACUCCCACUUCCCGGUGCCUGUGGACAUCUGCGUAACCUCAACAAGCUGGUCACCAGCAGCUGUGAGAGAUGGGGACAUCGAGAGAGACAGCAAGGACUCUCCUGUGGUCACGGCAAGCUAGAGACUGGCUGGUACCUGAACCCCAACCCCGUGAGCUGCAGGAUCUCACUAUAUAUCUCUGACUGGCUUGGAAUUCACUAUAUAAAUCAUAGCACAGAAGCCUACACAGUGAUGCCGGGCGCUGGUGGUGCACGCCUUUAAUUCCAGCACUCGGGAGGCAGAGACAGGAGGAUUUUUGUGAGUUCAAGGCCAGCCUGGUCUACAAGAGCAAGUUCCAGGACAGGCUCCAAAGCCA